GACUAUACCAACCGUUAUAUAUCGAUCCAAGCCUCAUGGAUACCUCGUGGAAAUCAAUGCACUUUGGGAUCUUCAGCUGUGGCGUAGUAGCUUCGCUGUUGGGAUUCACCUCUUUUUUUGUUAUUUUGUUUUUUCUUUUUUAUUCUUCCUUUUUCUGGCGGGAUGACGUCAAUCAAUCCCUACUACAGCCAAUGGAAAGUGAUAUACUCUCUGACGUAAUCGAGGGGCGUGGUUUUCUCCGUUUCAGCCUCUUAACAUCUUCUGCAUCUUCGUCUUCUGCUUCGGUUUAGCGAUUAUUUAAAAUGUGGAGAAUUGGC
rnacentral:lncRNA from 1 species